CCUCCCCUUCACUGUCUGCUGCUCCUCCCAGCAGCUGUGGAGCAGCGCCGGCCUCCUCACUCCUGGACAAGCCUCCACUCACACACACAGAACAUACAGACAGACAGACAGACACACACACAGACAGGCACACAAACGGAGCGAUGCACUGCGGGACUAACAGGGCCAGCGUCUGAAUUCACACCUCCACGCGCCAGCCGGGAGAUGCCCGGCGCCUCUCUGCUGCUCUGCUGGUGAUCCCUCUCCCGCGCUGGACAGCACCAUGAGUCAGAAGAGGAGGAGGUCCAGCACGUUGUUCAGCUGGCAGAGGUCCCUGGCCAUCCUGGCCCCGUGGAGGAGAGGGAAAGGAGACAUGGUGCUGGAAAAUGACGUUGUGCUUACAAAGAUGAAGCUCUUUAACAACUACCAUGAGAAACUUCUAAAUCCUGAAGACUCCAUCUCCACCAUCUCCUUGUCUGUAUCAGAACAGGAGGCACCAGAGCCUUCCAAAGCUGGAGAAGUGCACUCCAUAAGCAGUGCUACACCCUCAGCAGAACCACGGGCCUUGACAGAGUCCAAAUCUGACUACCUGUGUAACAUAUUCUCAGACUCUCAGCUCCCCAGGCUUUACAAGUUUGAGUCAGAGGACUCGGGAGUUGAACUGCCCAGUGGGGCAAACUCACCCUCCACCCCAACAGGAUCAGAGCAGAGCUUUGUUGUUCACAGUCGGGAGUCUUCCUGUGACUCUGGAAACCUCAGUUCAUCUAUUGCUGCGUCAGACCCUCUCCUACGACUUGGCAAAGAGUGCCAAAGUGUGAAAACAGAAGAACUAGUGUCUGACGAUGUACCAGAUCACUGUGCCACCGCAACUGAGAAUGAAGCUGAGAGGGCAAAUUGGAAUUCAAUAGAAGAGAGUUCAGAUUUGAGAAAGGCUGAAGAUGGUUCCUUGAAGAACUCCUCUGAUGACAUUAAGAGUGAGUCAGAGCAUCCAGUAGAGAACGCGCAGGAUACAAGAGAAGCAAAUGAAUCACUACCGAGCAGUCAUGGUCCAGAGGAAUCGCACGAAGACACAACGCAACCCCUGCGGAAGAGCACAACAAGCGACAGCUUGGAUGAGUACAUGGAGCAGUGCUGCAGGUUAAGCGAGGAGAAGCAGAGCCAGGCAAACCCCAUGGGCUCAGGGCUGGGUUACCUGGAGCACAUCUGCCAGCUGAUCGAGAAGAUCGGCCAACUGCAGGAGCACAACCUGAAACUCCAGAGACAGAUCUGCAGCCUGCACAAAGAAAGCAGGACCGCCAAAACUAUGAAGGACUUCUUCCUUCAGCACUGCAGCUGCGGAGCGUCUGGUGCAGCAUUUCAGGAGCUCAAGAGACAUUCCCGCAGUGACUACCCCAGCAUGACCGUGUCCAGCGGCACCCUGUCUGACCUGGGCACAAUCCCCGAGGCCAACCCUGUCAGGGGAGGCAGGAGAGAUGGAGAGACAGCCUGGCAACCCACGGCCCCAGUUUUGAGGCGGGGCCUGAACAGGCAGAGCUACACAGAAGGGGAGGCACGUUACCUGAGCGGCAGCACGGAAGUCCUCUGUGCCCCACACAGAAGGUUUGGCGAGAGUCAGACAUGGGGCCGAGUGAAGGAUCUGGUGAAGAAGACCAAGCUGAGGAACCAGACCAGGCUGGGUUUAAUGUCAAGCUCCCUCAAGAAUUCCUGCCCUCAGCUUUAUCGGCCUGACCUGGGGCCAGUGGACCUGCCCAGAAGAGACAGGAAUUCCAUGAUUGCGAUUGGCCAUCGGACUAAGAUGGACUUCUGGACACACUGACCACUAAACAGACUGGACAUUGCGCAGAUGCCCCGGAUGUUGAAACCGUUCCUGGAAAAGGAGGAGUAUUGUGAGGUUGUACAGAGCCUGGCGGAUGAAAACGAGGAGCGUAAAAGGAGGAAUGAAUAAUGUGAUGAAUAAGAGGACAGGGCGAAAACAAAAUAAAUAAUUAGCAAGAUAUUUUCA
rnacentral:lncRNA from 1 species